GCCAUGCCAUCUUCUUGUGAUUCUUUUUUUUUUUUUUUUUUCUCUUUCUCCUUUUUCUCCCAAGGAUUUAUGCAUAAUUCAGAAGAAAGGAAGAUGUGGAAGUGGAAAUCUGUCCACUGAGAAGACACAAAACUUUUUAGAUGCAGAUAAGGAACAUUUAAGGAGUAUGAGAGAAGAUGAAAGUAUUGAGAACAAAGGUCGAGAUCGGAGGUGUUGCCUUGUAAAACUAGGACAACUUCAUUAAUCUCCACUGGCACAAGCAACCUCAGAGAUGGUAUAGUUCUGUCUCCUCUAAAGCUGUUUGUAAGACUUCUAGAACUGGUCACUGGAGUAAUGAAAACUUGUGGUUUAUCUGACAAGUACUUAAGAAAUACAUUUCCAACUACUGACACUAAUUUUUACAAUUACUAAAUAAUUGAAGAAGCAAAUACAAUGUCAAUAAGAACAUUUUUCUUGAGAAGAAAUAACAAGAUGCUUUUGAUUACAUGAAGCAUGAAAGUGAUUAAAAGGACCAAAUGCUGCCCAAGCAGGUAAUACACUGCCUUCAAACCAGCUUCAAUCAGGAACACAUGAUGGCUAAGUGUAAGUGCUUUGCUCUCCAAGUAUUGCAUUAAAAUGUCCCUUUCUUUCCUUUCUUAACUUGUUUUCAUAAGCAUUGGCUUACAACACGAGGGGGAAGGGGUAAAAGAUGUUCUGUGAAAGUCAGUUCAGUUUAAAAAUCUGCCCAUUUAUGCUGUGCAGUCUAGUUCAGUGUAAUGUAUUUAUUUAUUUAUUUUGCUUAUCUAGGAAAAUAAAAGACAUCUGAAUAGCA
rnacentral:lncRNA from 1 species